ensembl:misc_RNA 7SK 7SK RNA
GGAUGUGAGGGCAAUCUGGCUGUGACAUCUGUCACCCAAUUGAUUGCCAAGGUUGAUUCAGCUGACAUGUUUUGUUAGACAGGUGUCCUCUUAGUCUCUCGUCACUCCACGUGUGUUGCUCCCAAAGUUGCACACUCAGUGGAAGAAGAUGGCCUUCCUCCAUAGAGAAGGACCAUUCUUCGAUCAAAGGUAGACAAGAAGCUGUGUUACCUUACUUGAGCAUCCAAAGAAGCUCUGAAGGUCCAUUUGUAGGAAAAGGUAGGGGUCAAGCUUCUCAGACUCCAGACACAUCCAAGUGAGGCACUGCACGUGGCAGUUUGCCUUUAUUU